rnacentral:rRNA from 1 species
UGGAGAAUCUUGCACAAUGGGGGAAACCCUGAUGCAGCAACGCCGCGUGAAGGAAGAAGGCCCUUGGGUCGUAAACUUCUUUUCUAAGGGAAGAUAAUGACGGUACCUUAGGAACAAGUCCCGGCUAACUACGUGCCAGCAGCCGCGGUAAUACGUAGGGGGCGAGCGUUAUCCGGAAUUAUUGGGCGUAAAGAGUACGUAGGUGGUUUCCUAAGCAUGGGGUUUAAGGCAAUGGCUCAACUGUUGUUCGCCCUAUGAACUGGGUUACUUGAGUGCUGGAGGGGAAAGCGGAAUUCCUAGUGUAGCGGUGAAAUGCGUAGAUAUUAGGAGGAACACCAGUGGCGAAGGCGGCUUUCUGGACAGUAACUGACACUGAGGUACGAAAGUGUGGGGAGCAAACA